UACGUAGGGUGCAAGCGUUAAUCGGAAUUACUGGGCGUAAAGCGUGCGCAGGCGGUUAUGUAAGACAGUUGUGAAAUCCCCGGGCUCAACCUGGGAACUGCAUCUGUGACUGCAUAGCUAGAGUACGGUAGAGGGGGAUGGAAUUCCGCGUGUAGCAGUGAAAUGCGUAGAUAUGCGGAGGAACGCCGAUGGCGAAGGCAAUCCCCUGGACCUGUACUGACGCUCAUGCACGAAAGCGUGGGGAGCAAACAGG
rnacentral:rRNA from 1 species